CCUACGGGCGGCUGCAGUCGAGAAUCUUCCGCAAUGGACGAAAGUCUGACGGAGCGACGCCGCGUGGUGGAUGAAGUUCUUCGGAAUGUAAACACCUUUUGUGGGGGAGAAAUUUUUGAUAGUACCCCAAGAAUAAGGACCUGCUAAACUCGUGCCAGCAGCAGCGGUAAGACGAGUGGUCCGAGCGUUAUCCGGAAUUAUUGGGCGUAAAGGGUGCGUAGGAGGUUUAGUUAGUCUUUCGUUAAAGCUCUCGGCUUAACCGGGAAAAUGCGAAGGAAACGGCUAGACUAGAGGAUGCCAGGGGUCAUUGGAACUCAUGGUGUAGGGGUGAAAUCCGUUGAUAUCAUGGGGAACGCCAAAAGCGAAGGCAGAUGGCUGGGGCAUUCCUGACUCUGAAGCACGAAAGCGUGGGUAGCGAACGGGCUUAGAUACCCCGGUAGUC
rnacentral:rRNA from 1 species